rnacentral:rRNA from 1 species
CACGAACGCUGGCGGCAGGCUUAACACUUGCAAGUCGAGCGCCCCGCAAGGGGAGCGGCAGACGGGUGAGUAACGCGUGGGAAUCUACCCAUCUCUACGGAAUAACGCAUGGAAACGUGUGCUAAUACCGUAUACGUCCUUCGGGAGAAAGAUUUAUCGGAGAUGGAUGAGCCCGCGUUGGAUUAGCUAGUUGGUGGGGUAAAGGCCUACCAAGGCGACGAUCCAUAGCUGGUCUGAGAGGAUGAUCAGCCACACUGGGACUGCGACACGGCCCAGACUCCUACGGGAGGCAGCAGUGGGGAAUAUUGGACAACGGGCGCAAGCCUGAUCCAGCCAUGCCGCGUGAGUGAUGAAGGCCCUAGGGUUGUAAAGCUCUUUCACCGGUGAAGAUAAUGACGGUAACCGGAGAAGAAGCCCCGGCUAACUUCGUGCCAGCCGCCGCUGUAAGAC